UUGGCUAAAUUUGUGCCAGCAGCUGCGGUUAAACAAAGAAUACAAAUAAAUUUUAUAAAUAUAUAAGUUAAAUUGAAUUUAUUUAAUUAAUAAAAAAAAAUUAGGUGAAAUUUUAUUUUUUUAAAAAUUAAUAUAAAAAAUUAUAUUGAAUCUUAAAAAUUUUAUUUUUAAACUAGGAUUAGAUACCCUAUUAUUUAAUUAUUUAAAAAUGUAAAAAAUUAGAGUAGUAAUAGUUAUGGUCUUGAAACUCAAAAAAUUUGGCGGUAUUUUAGUCUAUUCAGAGGAACCUGUAAUAUAAUCGAUAAUCCACGAUGGAUCUUUCUUAAUUUUGUAAUUUAAUUUGUAUAUCGCCGUUAUUUGAAAAUUUUAUAAGAAAAAUAAUUUUCUAAAAUUUUUAUUAAAAAAUAAAUCAGGUCAAGGUGCAGUUUAUAGUUAAGUUUUAUAUGGGUUACAAUAAAUUUAUUUAAACGGAUUAAAAAAUGAAAUAUUUUUAGGAAGGUGGAUUUGAUAGUAAAUUUUUAAAGAUAAAAAAAUUGAUUUUAGCUCUAAAAUAUGUACACAUCGCCCGUCGCUCUUGUUAAUAAUAUAAGAUAAGUCG
rnacentral:rRNA from 1 species